rnacentral:misc_RNA from 1 species
GAACGCAUCUUGCGCUCCUUGGUAUUCUGAGGAGCAUGCCUGUUCGAGCGUCAUUAUAACCACUCAAGCCUCGGCUUGGUCUUGGGGUUCGCGGUCUCGCGGCCCUUAAAAUCAGUGGCGGUGCCGUCUGGCUCUAAGCGUAGUAAUUUUCUCGCUAUAGGGUCCAGGUGACCACCUGCCAUAACCCCCCAUUCUUUACGGUUGACCUCGGAUCAGGUAGGGAUACCCGCUAAACUUA